rnacentral:rRNA from 1 species
UACGUAGGGUGCGAGCGUUAAUCGGAAUUACUGGGCGUAAAGCGUGCGCAGGCGGUUCGUUGUGUCUGCUGUGAAAUUCCUGGGCUUAACCUGGGGGCUGCAUACGAGACGUAUGGGCUUGAGUGCGGAAGAGGGUCGUGGAAUUCCCAGUGUAGAGGUGAAAUUCGUAGAUAUUGGGAAGAACACCGGUGGCGAAGGCGGCUCUCUGGACCGAGACUGACGCUGAGGCGCGAAAGCGUGGGGAGCAAACAGG